rnacentral:rRNA from 1 species
GACGAGCGCUGGCGGCGUGCUUAACACAUGCAAGUCGAACGGAAAGGCCCUGCUUUUGUGCGGUGCUCGAGUGGCGAACGGGUGAGUAACACGUGAGUAACCUGCCCUUGACUUUGGGAUAACUUCAGGAAACUGGGGCUAAUACCGGCUAGGAGCUACUGCUGCAUGGUGGGGGUGGGAAAGUUUCGGCGGUUGGGGAUGGACUCGCGGCUUAUCAGCUUGUUGGUGGGGUAGUGGCUUACCAAGGCUUUGACGGGUAGCCGGCCUGGGAGGGUGACCGGCUACGUUGGGAUUGAGAUACGGCACAGACUACUACGGGACGCAGCAGUGGGGAAUAUAGCACAAUGGGCGGAAGCCUGAUGCAGCAACGCCGCGUGCGGGAUGACGGCCUUCGGGUUGUAAACCGCUUUCGCCUGUGACGAAGCGUGAGUGACGGUAAUGGGUAAAGAAGCACCGGCUAACUACGUG